rnacentral:rRNA from 1 species
UUGACCUCGGAUCAGGUAGGACUACCCGCUGAACUUAAGCAUAUCAAUAAGCGGAGGAAAAGAAACCAACAGGGAUUGCCCCAGUAACGGCGAGUGAAGCGGCAACAGCUCAGAUUUGGAAUCUGGCCCCCAGGGCCCGAGUUGUAAUCUGGAGAGGAUGCUUCUGGCGCGGCGCCUUCCGAGUUCCCUGGAACGGGACGCCGGAGAGGGUGAGAGCCCCGUACGGUUGGACGCCUAGCCUUUGUGAAGCUCCUUCGACGAGUCGAGUAGUUUGGGAAUGCUGCUCAAAAUGGGAGGUAAAUUUCUUCUAAAGCUAAAUACCGGCCAGAGACCGAUAGCGCACAAGUAGAGUGAUCGAAAGAUGAAAAGCACUUUGAAAAGAGGGUCAAACAGUACGUGAAAUUGUUGAAAGGGAAGCGCCCGUGGCCAGACUUGUGCCCCGCGGACCACCCGGCGCCCUCAGCGCCGGUGCACUCCGCGGGGCGCAGGCCAGCAUCGGUUUUCCUAGGGGGAUAAAGGCGGCGGGAACGUGGCUCCCUCGGGAGUGUUAUAGCCCGCCGCGCCAUGCCCCUGGGGGGACCGAGGACCGCGCUUCGGCAAG